GGGGUUGUGGCUCAGCGGUAGAGCACUCACCUAGCAUGUGUGAGGCCCUGGGUUCGAUUCUCAGCACCACA
rnacentral:tRNA from 1 species